rnacentral:rRNA from 2 species
GCGUAUUAGCUAGUUGGUGAGGUAAUGGCUCACCAAGGCGAUGAUACGUAGCCGAACUGAGAGGUUGAUCGGCCACAUUGGGACUGAGACACGGCCCAAACUCCUACGGGAGGCAGCAGUAGGGAAUCUUCCACAAUGGACGCAAGUCUGAUGGAGCAACGCCGCGUGAGUGAAGAAGGCUUUCGGGUCGUAAAACUCUGUUGUUGGAGAAGAAUGGUCGGCAGAGUAACUGUUGUCGGCGUGACGGUAUCCAACCAGAAAGCCACGGCUAACUACGUGCCAGCAGCCGCGGUAAUACGUAGGUGGCAAGCGUUAUCCGGAUUUAUUGGGCGUAAAGCGAGCGCAGGCGGUUUUUUAAGUCUGAUGUGAAAGCCCUCGGCUUAACCGAGGAAGCGCAUCGGAAACUGGGAAACUUGAGUGCAGAAGAGGACAGUGGAACUCCAUGUGUAGCGGUGAAAUGCGUAGAUAUAUGGAAGAACACCAGUGGCGAAGGCGGCUGUCUGGUCUGUAACUGACGCUGAGGCUCGAAAGCAUGGGUAGCGAACAGGAUUAGAUACCCUGGUAGUCCAUGCCGUAAACGAUGAAUGCU